UGGGGAAUAUUGGGCAAUGGGCGCAAGCCUGACCCAGCCACGCCGCGUGAGUGAUGAAGGCCUUCGGGUCGUAAAGCUCUGUGGGGAAGGACGAAAAAACAUUGGCUAAUAUCCAAUGGCUUGACGGUACUUCCUUAGCAAGCACCGGCUAACUCUGUGCCAGCAGCCGCGGUAAUACAGAGGGUGCAAACGUUGCUCGGAAUCAUUGGGCGUAAAGCGCACGUAGGCGGCCUGAUAAGUCGGUAGUGAAAGCCCUCGGCUUAACCGAGGAAGUGCUAUCGAAACUGCCAGGCUUGAGUACCGGAGAGGAUCGCGGAAUUCCCGGUGUAGAGGUGAAAUUCGUAGAUAUCGGGAGGAACACCAGUGGCGAAGGCGGCGAUCUGGACGGAUACUGACGCUGAGGUGCGAAAGCGUGGGGAGCGAAACAGGAUUAGAUACCCUCGUAGUCCCUGAGCGGGCUGGCAAGGCGCAU
rnacentral:rRNA from 1 species